GGGGGGGGCUUAUUUUGGGUUUACCUGAUUACAUCCUGUUAUUUAAGGAGAGUGGGAAGAGGCCGCUCGGUCCUAAUCUACCUGUUCCGGAGGCAAGGUGUGUCCGGUUGGGAGAGCACGGCGUUUCUCCUGUUACUGUGAGAGGGCUUUUGAGGGUGGAUCCGGCAGCGGGGCCGAUUUAACAGGGAAGACGGCUGGUUUCCUGGGAGAGCAAUCUAUUGGGCCCGUGUAUUUGUGCUGACCACUGUUUGUUUUAGGCUUGUUUUGUUGCAUUUGUUUCAUUUACGAACUGCUCAAGGGGUUUGGUGUAACUUUUCUAGCUGGCCAGCUAUGUAUGGUAAGAUAAGAGGGAUUUGCGGCUGGCUGGCUAGUUAAGAUUUUCUUCUUUUUGUUUGUUUGUUUCUUUAUGUGGUGUUGUCUAUGUCCACGUAACAGCCAGCCACGUAACAGCCAGGUGUUACAAUUCGUAAGCUCUUCCUUCACUGCGUGCUGUGGGGUUUCCCGUGAUGAUUGAAGUGUGUUGUGCGAGUGUUGUGCAAUAGCUUAGGACAUACAAUCACUAGUGUGACUACAAUCACUUUAUUGUGUUUGCUUAUUAUUAGUAGAGCUGUGGUGAUUGUAAUAGUGUUCUUUUGGCUGAGUAACAUCAAUAGCGGGCGGGCUGUGUUGUGGGUCAUUGAUGUUUGUUUUAUAUCGUCCAUGUCUGCUAUAUCUUUGUGCUAAAUUAAGAAAAAUAAAAGUAUUUAUUUUUAUAUGAGAGAUGCACUGAUGUCUACUCCGUUUGUAAUUGAUAUCUAUUCCGAUUCCGUAAUUACCAGAGCUCCCCUGUGCUCUAGGUUGAAACCCAGGGGUGGCGUAGUCUCUCUCACUCUCUCUUGACAGAGGGUGCGACACUUGACACGUGCAGAAGCAGUCUGUUGCUAUUGUAGGCUAUAAAUAUGAUUAAUGGUAAAGUAAUUAACUAUGAGAUCGCUAAGAGUAACGUUAGGGAUAGUCUACAGUGAACAUGACAGGUGUGCUAUGCAACACCACUG